rnacentral:lncRNA from 1 species
CUCUAGAUCCUCUCUUGCUUUGGAGUAUCCAAGUUGCUUGAAGAAUAAGGAAGAAACUAGCUGUCAAAGUUGCUUGCAGGCUAGCACCUCCAAGUCCUUGAUCUGCACCUGUCUUCGUGUGAAUUUUUCUGUAGAGACUAGAUGACUUUGAGUGACUAUGAGUGAUCUGAGGAAUACCCUCUCUAAUUACUAGAUUAGAGAAGAUCAAAAUCCAAUUGGUUUGAUAAUC